AAACGUAAAGUCAUGCACAAGCCAACUAAGCUAUAUAUAACCUAUAGAUAGGCUACUGGAACUGGAAGACACUACAGAUAAUUAGUUCAUGUAGCUAUACUGUUCCAAAAUGUACCAGCAAUGUAGGUAGGUAGUAU